AUACGGAGGAUGCAAGCGUUAUCCGGAUUUAUUGGGUUUAAAGGGUGCGCAGGCGGCGCGAUAAGUCAGCGGUGAAAUGUACCGGCUCAACCGGUGAGCUGCCGUUGAUACUGUCGUGCUUGAGUGCGAGCGGCGCCGGCGGAAUGUGUGAUGUAGCGGUGAAAUGCAUAGAUAUCACACAGAACACCGAUCGCGAAGGCAGCUGGCGAGGACGUUACUGACGCUGAGGCACGAAAGCGUGGGGAUAGAACAGGAUUAGAUACCCUGGUAUUCCACGCCGUAAACGAUGAUGACUAACCGUCGGCGAUAGACAGCCGGUGGCCAAGCGAAAGCGAUAAGUCAUCCACCUGGGGAGUACGUCGGCAACGAUGAAACUCAAAGGAAUUGACGGGG
rnacentral:rRNA from 1 species